AUUUACACUAGGAUGUAAACAGUUUUUCAACUGUUUUUCACUGUGGGGGAUGAGAGUUUUUGAAGAAGGUAAGACUGAAGGAAUAACAGGAUGGGGACUAGGGUGAGCCAGAUGCCUAGGGUUCAACAUUUAAGGAGGCGCUCAUUCUCAAGUGAUAACUCCAGGCUCAGCACCUGAGACUGCCUCCUUAAAUGUCAUGCCCUGUUUGUGUUAUUUGCCUCGCUCUUAUCCCAGUCCUUUAAGGAUAAAGUUUAACCAGCUUUGGUUUCUGUUACUUGUGAUGAAGUAUCCUUAAUGCAUUUCCCUUCCCCACCCAUGAACUGAGGGAGUCAUUCUUCCUGGGAACACCCAUAAUAUCCUCUGAUUAUACCUAUACUAUACUUACAACACAGUUUUCUCACUAUUUACACAUCCAUAUGCAUCGGCACUCUGUGCGCUCCUUAAACAAAGAGACUGUGACAUAAUCUUCUUUAUAGCUGCAAUAUCUAGUCCUGUACCUGUUGAGUGGGGUUGCCUGUAGAUAUUAAAAGCCCUGAGGAAAUGUUCGAGGAGAGAGAGAAUCUAUCUAUAGCAAUCAUCUGAUUACAAAAAUAAUUAUAAAAGUCAUGGACCCAUGUGAGAUGGAGUGAUUUGCUGUUAAAGAGUCAAGACCUUAAUCACUGCAUCCCUAGAAUGUGACUCUUUUAAGGUUGGCUGCAGCCCUGCUUUCCAUAUAUAGUUAUCAGUGGUGAAGAUAGAUGAGAGGCCCUGGAUAGAUGAAAAGAGCCAUCCCAUUUGGGCAACCAGUGUCCAUCACUUGUUCAUCAAGGCUUACAACCAACCCAGAAGAGAAUGUCACCAUGUUUAUUAGAGGUAAAAAAGACAUUGAUUGAAAUGGCCCAUUGGCUUUGUGUUGCUACAGUCUCAAAAGCCCUGAAAGGAGGCAAGCAUUGCCAUGAUAAGUAGUGUCUGAUAUGUGACACGGAGCUUGCAGAGGGGUGGUGUGACUGCCCUAAUGCCAGCAGCAGGGUGACGGCAGGAGACCCCAGGAUAAAGGAUGUCUGCAGACACACAUACCUUUUUCAAGUGCUCUCCACUAGAGGUGGUUCCUUGGUCUGAC
rnacentral:lncRNA from 1 species